UCCCAGCUGUAAACGAUGCGGGCUAGGUGCUGGAGGGGCUACGGGCCUCUCCAGUGCCGCAGGGAAGCCGUUAAGCCCGCCGCCUGGGGAGUACGGCCGCAAGGCUGAAACUUAAAGGAAUUGGCGGGGGGGCACCACAAGGGGUGAAGCCUGCGGUUCAAUUGGAGUCAACGCCGGGAACCUUACCAGGGGUGACAGCAGGAUGAAGGUCAGGCUGAAGACCUUACCUGACG
rnacentral:rRNA from 1 species